rnacentral:rRNA from 1 species
UCCAUGAGUAAAGUGGCGUACGGGUGAGUAACACGUGACUAACCUACCCUCGAGUGGGGAAUAACCUCGGGAAACCGGGGCUAAUACCGCAUAACAUCUUCUGGCUGAGAUGCCGGUUGAUCAAACCAGUAAUGGGCUUGAGGAGGGGGUCGCGGCUGAUUAGCUAGUUGGUGGGGUAACGGCUCACCAAGGCGAUGAUCAGUAGCCGGCCUGAGAGGGCGCACGGCCACACUGGAACUGAAACACGGUCCAGACUCCUACGGGAGGCAGUAGUGGGGAAUUUUGCGCAAUGGGGGAAACCCUGACGCAGCAACGCCGCGUGGAGGAUGAAGUCCCUUGGGACGUAAACUCCUUUCGAUCGGGACGAUUAUGACGGUACCGGAAGAAGAAGCCCCGGCUAACUUCGUGCCAGCAGCCGCGGUAAUACGAGGGGGGCAAGCGUUGUUCGGAAUUAUUGGGCGUAAAGGGCGCGUAGGCGGUGCGGUAAGUCUGAUGUGAAAUCUCCGGGCUCAACUCGGAG